GGUGAGUAACACGUGAGCAACCUGCCCUGGACUCUGGGAUAAGCGCUGGAAACGGCGUCUAAUACUGGAUAUGAGCCCCUAUCGCAUGGUGGGGGUUGGAAAGAUUUUUUGGUCUGGGAUGGGCUCGCGGCCUAUCAGCUUGUUGGUGAGGUAAUGGCUCACCAAGGCGUCGACGGGUAGCCGGCCUGAGAGGGUGACCGGCCACACUGGGACUGAGACACGGCCCAGACUCCUACGGGAGGCAGCAGUGGGGAAUAUUGCACAAUGGGCGAAAGCCUGAUGCAGCAACGCCGCGUGAGGGAUGACGGCCUUCGGGUUGUAAACCUCUUUUAGCAGGGAAGAAGCGAAAGUGACGGUACCUGCAGAAAAAGCGCCGGCUAACUACGUGCCAGCAGCCGCGGUAAUACGUAGGGCGCAAGCGUUAUCCGGAAUUAUUGGGCGUAAAGAGCUCGUAGGCGGUUUGUCGCGUCUGCUGUGAAAUCCCGAGGCUCAACCUCGGGCCUGCAGUGGGUACGGGCAGACUAGAGUGCGGUAGGGGAGAUUGGAAUUCCUGGUGUAGCGGUGGAAUGCGCAGAUAUCAGGAGGAACACCGAUGGCGAAGGCAGAUCUCUGGGCCGUAACUGACGCUGAGGAGCGAAAGGGUGGGGAGCAAACAGGCUUAGAUACCCUGGUAGUCCACCCCGUAAACGUUGGGAACUAGUUGUGGGGACCAUUCCACGGUUUCCGUGACG
rnacentral:rRNA from 1 species